rnacentral:rRNA from 1 species
ACGAACGCUGGCGGCGUGCUUAACACAUGCCAGUCGAACGGAAAGGCCCUGCCUGCAGGGUACUCGAGUGGCGAACGGGUGAGUAACACGUGGGUGAUCUGCCCUGCACUUCGGGAUAAGCCUGGGAAACUGGGUCUAAUACCGGAUAGGAGCCAUUUUUAGUGUGAUGGUUGGAAAGUUUUUUCGGUGUAGGAUGAGCUCGCGGCCUAUCAGCUUGUUGGUGGGGUAAUGGCCUACCAAGGCGGCGACGGGUAGCCGGCCUGAGAGGGUGGACGGCCACAUUGGGACUGAGAUACGGCCCAGACUCCUACGGGAGGCAGCAGUGGGGAAUAUUGCACAAUGGGCGCAAGCCUGAUGCAGCGACGCCGCGUGGGGGAUGACGGCCUUCGGGUUGUAAACUCCUUUCGCUAGGGACGAAGCUUUUUGUGACGGUACCUAGAUAAGAAGCACCGGCUAACUACGUG